GGGCUUUCGCAGUGGGAAGGGGUGUAUUUAUUAGAUAAAAGAUCAAUGCUUUUCGGAGCUCUUUGAUGAUUCAUAAUAACUUUUCGAAUCGCAUGGCCUUGUGCUGGCGAUGGUUCAUUCAAAUUUCUGCCCUAUCAACUUUCGAUGGUAGGAUAGUGGCCUACCAUGGUUUCAACGGGUAACGGGGAAUAAGGGUUCGAUUCCGGAGAGGGAGCCUGAGAAACGGCUACCACAUCCAAGGAAGGCAGCAGGCGCGCAAAUUACCCAAUCCCGACACGGGGAGGUAGUGACAAUAAAUAACGAUACAGGGCCCUUUCGGGUCUUGUAAUUGGAAUGAGUACAAUGUAAAUACCUUAACGAGGAACAAUUGGAGGGCAAGUCUGGUGCCAGCAGCCGCGGUAAUUCCAGCUCCAAUAGCGUAUAUUAAAGUUGUUGCAGUUAAAAAGCUCGUAGUUGAACCUUGGGCUUGGUUGGCCGGUCCGCCUUUUUGGCGAGUACUGGACCCAACCGAGCCUUUCCUUCUGGCUAACCUUUCGCCCUUGUGGUGUUUGGCGAACCAGGACUUUUACUUUGAAAAAAUUAGAGUGUUCAAAGCAGGCCUUUGCUCGAAUAUAUUAGCAUGGAAUAAUAGAAUAGGACGUUAUGGUUCUAUUUUGUUGGUUUCUAGGACCAUCGUAAUGAUUAAUAGGGACGGUCGGGGGCAUCAGUAUUCAGUUGUCAGAGGUGAAAUUCUUGGAUUUACUGAAGACUAACUACUGCGAAAGCAUUUGCCAAGGACGUUUUCAUUAAUCAAGAACGAAAGUUAGGGGAUCGAAGAUGAUCAGAUACCGUCGUAGUCUUAACCAUAAACUAUGCCGACUAGGGAUCCGGGUGUUGUUCUUUUUUUGACGCACUCGGCACCUUACGAGGAAUCAAAGUCUUUGGGUUCUGGGGGGGARUAAUGGUCGCAAGGCUGAAACUUAAAGGAAUUGACGGAAGGGCACCACCAGGAGUGGAGCCUGCGGCUUAAUUUGACUCAACACGGGGAAACUCACCAGGUCCAGACACAAUAAGGAUUGGCAGAUUGAGAGCUCUUUCUUGAUUUUGUGGGUGGUGGUGCAUGGCCGUUCUUAGUUGGUGGAGUGAUUUGUCUGCUUAAUUGCGAUAACGAACGAGACCUUAACCUACUAAAUAGUGCUGCUAGCUUUUGCUGGUAUAGUCACUUCUUAGAGGGACUAUCGAUUUCAAGUCGAUGGAAGUUUGAGGCAAUAACAGGUCUGUGAUGCCCUUAGACGUUCUGGGCCGCACGCGCGCUACACUGACGGAGCCAACGAGUAUUAACCUUGGCCGAGAGGUCUGGGAAAUCUUGUGAAACUCCGUCGUGCUGGGGAUAGAGCAUUGUAAUUAUUGCUCUUCAACGAGGAAUUCCUAGUAAGCGCAAGUCAUCAGCUUGCGUUGAUUACGUCCCUGCCCUUUGUACACACCGCCCGUCGCUACUACCGAUUGAAUGGCUUAGUGAGGCCUCCGGAUUGGUUUAAAGAAGGGGGCAACUCCAUCUUGGAACCGAAAAGCUGGUCAAACUUGGUCAUUUAGAGGAAUGUCAUUUUUUUUUA
rnacentral:rRNA from 1 species